rnacentral:rRNA from 1 species
GAUGAACGCUGGCGGCAUGCCUAAGACAUGCAAGUCGUACGAAGCGGCCCAAUGAAGAUUGCGUGCUUGCACAAAAUUGGAUUUGGAUUUCCGCUUAGUGGCAAACGGGUGAGUAACACGUGGGUGUACCUACCUCUAAGUCGGGGAUAACAAUUGGAAACGAUUGGUAAUACCGGAUGUGCUCUACGGAGUAAAGAACCCUUUAAAGGUUCGCUUAGAGAUGGGCCUGCGGCGCAUUAGCUAGUUGGUGAGAUAAUGGCCCACCAAGGCAACGAUGCGUAGCCGAACUGAGAGGUUGAUCGGCACAUUGGGACUGAGACA